CGAUUUGCUGCGGGCAGAUGAAAUGGAUGUGGGUGUCAAUGCCGCCCGCAGUAACGAUGCAGCCUUCCCCCGCGAUCACCUCGGUGGCGGCGCCGAUGGUCAUCGAAAUUCCAUCCUGCAACAACGGAUUGCCCGCAUGGCCGAUGCCUACGAUGCGGCCGUGUUUGAUGCCGAUGUCGGCCUUGAUCACCCCUUGCGCGGCAUCGAGAAUGAGCGCGUUGGUGAUGACCAAAUCGAGCGAAUCCGCGUCGAGCGCGAGUGGCGAUUGCGCCAUGCCGUCGCG
rnacentral:sRNA from 1 species